AGUGAACGCUGGCGGUAGGCCUAACACAUGCAAGUCGAACGGCAGCACAGUAAGAGUUCGCUCUUACGGGUGGCGAGUGGCGGACGGGUGAGGAAUACAUCGGAAUCUACUUUUUCGUGGGGGAUAACGUAGGGAAACUUCCGCUAAUACCGCAUAUGACCUACGGGUGAAAGCAGGGGAUCUUCGGACCUUGCGCGAUUGAAUGAGCCGAUGUCGGAUUAGCUAGUUGGCGGGGUAAAGGCCCACCAAGGCGACGAUCCGUAGCUGGUCUGAGAGGAUGAUCAGCCACACUGGAACUGAGACACGGUCCAGACUCCUACGGGAGGCAGCAGUGGGGAAUAUUGGACAAUGGGCGCAAGCCUGAUCCAGCCAUACCGCGUGGGUGAAGAAGGCCUUCGGGUUGUAAAGCCCUUUUGUUGGGAAAGAAAAGCAGCAGGUUAAUACCCCGCUGUUCUGACGGUACCCAAAGAAUAAGCACCGGCUAACUUCGUG
rnacentral:rRNA from 1 species